rnacentral:rRNA from 1 species
UGGGGAAUAUUGCACAAUGGGCGCAAGCCUGAUGCAGCCAUGCCGCGUGUAUGAAGAAGGCCUUCGGGUUGUAAAGUACUUUCAGCGGGGAGGAAGGGAGUAAGGUUAAUACCUUUGCUCAUUGACGUUACCGACAGAAGAAGCACCGGCUAACUCCGUGCCAGCAGCCGCGGUAAUACGGAGGGUGCAAGCGUUAAUCGGAAUUACUGGGCGUAAAGCGCACGCAGGCGGUUGAUUGAGUCAGAUGUGAAAUCCCCGGGCUUAACCCGGGAAUUGCAUCUGAUACUGGUCAGCUAGAGUCUUGUAGAGGGGGGUAGAAUUCCAUGUGUAGCGGUGAAAUGCGUAGAGAUGUGGAGGAAUACCGGUGGCGAAGGCGGCCCCCUGGACAAAGACUGACGCUCAGGUGCGAAAGCGUGGGGAGCAAACAGG